rnacentral:rRNA from 1 species
AGAAUCAACGCUGGCGGCGUGCCUAACACAUGCAAGUCGAACGAGAAAGUGGAGCAAUCCAUGAGUAAAGUGGCGACCGGGUGAGUAACACGUGACUAACCUACCUUCGAGUGGGGGAUAACCUCGGGAAACCGAGGCUAAUACCGCAUAACAUCGCAAGAUCAAAAGCAGCAAUGCGCUGGAAGAGGGGGGUCGCGGCUGAUUAGCUAGUUGGCGGGGUAAUGGCCCACCAAGGCGAAGAUCGGUAGCCGGCCUGAGAGGGCGCACGGCCACACUGGAACUGAAACACGGUCCAGACUCCUACGGGAGGCAGCAGUGGGGAAUUUUGCGCAAUGGGGAAACCCUGACGCAGCAACGCCGCGUGGAGGAUGAAGCCCCUUGGGGUGUAAACUCCUUUCGACCAAGACGAUAAUGACGGUACUGGUGGAAGAAGCACCGGCUAACUCUGUGCCAGCAGCCGC